GGGCAGCUGCUGGUGCGCGGCCGUGUCGAGGCGGAGGUCGAGGCUGACGCCGUGCAGCAGCAGCUGGUGCGGCUGCGGCGCCUCGCCCUCCAUGGUCGAUGGUCGAUGAACGGAGCAAGCAAGCCCGGCCGGCACGUGGAUCGCAGAGCUAGUGGGCGUGGCAGUUGGGGACGCGGUGGCGUGUGUGUGGCCGUGUGGAGGAAGAAGAAGCCAAGAAGGAGCAGAGGGAGUGGCGCGGGGGCGCUGGUCU
rnacentral:lncRNA from 1 species